UAUUUGCAACACAUAGAUAGCAACAGUUUUGUAGAACUAUUGCUAAUAUAAAAACAAAAAAAUAACAGCAACAGUUUUGGUAAACUGUCGGUGUGGUUUUAGUGAACCGGCAGUUUAUUUUGGUUUACCAACGGUUUUGGUUGUAAAGAGAAAAAAACAGUAAACCGUUCUAUUUUUUUUUUAUUAUUUGGCUUUUUCCUUCAUUCAUUCAGAAAGAAAGCUUCAGACUCGCGAACCCUUUCAUCUUCUUCGUGCGUCUCUCUCUGCUCAAGCGACCAGACCAGUCCACCACCACCACUCACCAAAAAGCUCGACCGAACCACUCACUCGUCACCCACCGGUCGUCGUUCUCCCCCUUUUCUCUGUCUCUUCUUGACGUCGAAUCUCUUACCCUUCUCUGCUCAACACGACUCGACUUGUAUUUUAAUCUCAGAUAUGGUAAUCAAGGAGGCAUUUGUUGCACCUACAUAUUAUCAUAUCACCACUUGAUGUUGUUACUUGUUAAUAUCAGUGGUCAUUGAGGUGUGUGUGUAAGGCUUCUAUCUGUAGAUAACUGUCUUCACAUAUUCAUUUGUAAAAAUUAAAUUUCAUAAUACAACUCUAUGGCACAAAUGCUAUUUAAAUGAAUAAGAAAUUAUGAUAAUUUAUUGGUAUUGAAAUGUAGCUCAUAUGCUCGGUUACCCCUUCAUCAAGUAGCAGUGAAAAGCACAUUGGAAUACAAGCUCAGCUCAAAACAAGAUGUUAUUUGAUAGCACAAACUUAUAAUUAUGUCAGUAACUUCACCGACGAUGGUCGCUCUCAUCAUUGUCAAGUCAAAAUGUGAUACUACAUGUGAGUAGCCUUCUUUCUUUGUUUACUACUUUUCCUUCUUGCUUUUUAUCUUCAAGUAUUCAUUUCAACUUCAAAUUUUAAUCCUUAUAUAUGUAUGUUAUGCUUUGAUGAUAAGGUUGAUAAGGAAACAUAUGAAGUUUAUACUCAAAUGACACCACCACUUAGUUUGAAAGGCUAAAACUAAAGUUUAGAUGCAAUGUUCUUGCUUGAGGUUUUGUUGCUAUUGCUGCUUGGUAGCUUCAGAAUUUUCUAAUUGUUUUGUGAUUAUUGUAAUAGUAAUAAUUUUAGGAAUUGUUUACCUCUAGUUUAUCUAGUGUUGCUUAUGUUGCAGAACUUGUAGCAAAUUUGUGAUCUCUAUAGAGGAAAUGUUGCAGAAACACUUUACAAGUGUGUGUGGUUUCAGGGAUCUCUGUUGAGGGGCUGGUGCUAUUUGGUUUUUGGCUUCUGUUUGCAGGUCUCGGUUUGCUUAGCUUUGGUUAGACUGUGUUUUUGGGUAGUCAUAUUUUUAGUUUUGCAGGCCUCAGUUUGUUUAGCUUUGGUUAGACAUAGUGUUUUUCGGUAGUCGCAUUUUUAGUUUUGCAGGCCUCAGUUUGUUUAGCUUUGGUUAGGCUAGUGUUUUGGCAGUAACAUUCUUUAGUUUUACUAAGACAUGUUUAAUUCCACGAUACUUUUGGUAACCUUGUUUCGUUAAUAUUUUGUAAUUGAAUUUAUUUAUAAUUUGCUAUGAAAUUUUGUAUUAAUGGU